rnacentral:pre_miRNA from 13 species
CGUGAUCUACCCUGUAGAUCCGGGUUUUUGCAGCUUAAGUAUCAGAAGCUCGUCUCUACAGGUAUCUUACGG